GGGCGUAAGCGUGCGCAUGCGGUUCUCUACACGGAUGUGAAAUCCCCGGGCUUAACCUGGGAACUGCAUUUGUGACUGGCGGGCUAUAGUAUGGCAUAGGGGGGUAGAAUUCCGCGUGUAACACUGAAAUGCGUAUAGAUGUGGAGGAAUACCGAUGGCGAAGGCCGCCCCCUGGGCCAAUACUGACGCUCAUGCACAAAAGCGUGGGGAGCAAACUUGAUUAGAUACCCUGGUACUCCACGCCCUAAACGAUGUCAACUACUUGUCCGGUCUUCAUUGACUUGGUAACGUAACUAACGCGUGAAGUUGACCGCCUGGGGAGUACGGUCGCAAGAUUAAAACUCGUAGGAAUUGACGGGGACCCGCACAAGCGGUGGAUGAUAUGAAUUAAUUCCAUGCAACGCUAAAAACCUUACCUAGCCUUGACAUGGUCAGAACCCUGCUGUAAGGUGGGGGUGCUCCAAAGAGAACUGAUACACAGGUGCUGCAUGGCUGUCGUCAGCUCGUGUCGUGAGAUGUUGGGUUAAGUCCCGCAACGAGCGCAACCCUUGUCCCUAGUUGCUACGCCUGAGCACUCUUCGGAGACUGCCGGUGACAAACCGGAGGAAGGUGGGGAUGACGUCAAGUCCUCAUGGUCUUUAUGGUUAGGGCUUCACACGUCAUACAAUGGUCUUAACAGAGGGUCGCCAACCCGCGAGGGGGAGCCAAUCCCAAAAAACGAUCGUAUGCCGGAUCGCACUCUGCGACUCGAGUGCGUGAAGCUGGAAUCGCUAGAAUCGCGGAUCAGCAUGCCGCAGUGAUACGUUCCCGGUCUUGCACUCACCCCCCG
rnacentral:rRNA from 1 species